rnacentral:rRNA from 1 species
UGCCUGGCGGCAGGCCUACACAUGCAAGUCGAGCGGUAACAGGGGUAGCUUGCUACCCGCUGACGAGCGGCGGACGGGUGAGUAAUGCAUAGGAAUCUGCCCGGUAGUGGGGGAUAACCUGGGGAAACCCAGGCUAAUACCGCAUACGUCCUACGGGAGAAAGGGGGCUCCGGCUCCCGCUAUUGGAUGAGCCUAUGUCGGAUUAGCUAGUUGGUGAGGUAAUGGCUCACCAAGGCGACGAUCCGUAGCUGGUCUGAGAGGAUGAUCAGCCACAUCGGGACUGAGACACGGCCCGAACUCCUACGGGAGGCAGCAGUGGGGAAUAUUGGACAAUGGGCGAAAGCCUGAUCCAGCCAUGCCGCGUGUGUGAAGAAGGCCCUCGGGUUGUAAAGCACUUUCAGCGAGGAAGAACGCCUAGUGGUUAAUACCCAUUAGGAAAGACAUCACUCGCAGAAGAAGCACCGGCUAACUCCGUGCCAGCAGCCGCGGUAAUUACGGAGGGGUGCAAGCGUUAAUCGGAAUUACUGGGCGUAAAGCGCGCGGUAGGUGGCUUGAUAAAGCCGGGUUGUGAAAGCCCCGGGCUCAACCUGGGAAACGGCAUCCGGGAACUGUCAAGCUAGAGUGCAAGGAAGAAGGGAAAGGUAAGAAAUUCCCGGUGUAGCGGGUGAAAAUGGCGUAAGAGAGAAUCCGGGGAGGAAUACCCAGUGGCCGGAAGGCGGCCCUUCCUGGACUUGACCACUGACACACUGGAGGUGGCGAAGGCGGUGGGGUAGCAAAACAGGAUAAGAAUACCCCUGGUUAGUCCACCGCCGUAACGAUGUCGACCCAGCCCGUGGGUGCUAGCGCACUUUUUGGUGGCCGAAGGUAACCGCGAUAAAGUCGACCCGCCCUGGGGAGUUACGCGCCAGUUAAACUCAAUGAAUUGACGGGGCCGCCCAACCGUGUGAGACACACAUGGUUAAUUCCGAAGCCACCGGGAAGAACCUUACGUACCCUGAACUCCUGGCAACCUUGGCAGAAUACAGUUGGCUUCGAACGCGGAACGGGCUUCAUGCGUGC